AGUGAACGCUGGCGGCAGGCCUAACACAUGCAAGUCGAGCGGCAGCGCGUCCGACCACCCUCGGGUGGUCGGAUGGCGGCGAGCGGCGGACGGGUGAGGAAUGCAUCGGAAUCUGCCUCGUUGUGGGGGAUAACGUAGGGAAACUUACGCUAAUACCGCAUACGACCUACGGGUGAAAGUGGGGGACCUUCGGGCCUCACGCGAUGAGAUGAGCCGAUGCCGGAUUAGCUAGUUGGCGGGGUAAAGGCCCACCAAGGCGACGAUCCGUAGCUGGUCUGAGAGGAUGAUCAGCCACACUGGAACUGAGACACGGUCCAGACUCCUACGGGAGGCAGCAGUGGGGAAUAUUGGACAAUGGGCGCAAGCCUGAUCCAGCAAUGCCGCGUGUGUGAAGAAGGCCUGCGGGUUGUAAAGCACUUUCAGU
rnacentral:rRNA from 1 species